rfam:Camelus ferus unplaced genomic scaffold scaffold1279, whole genome shotgun sequence.
GAGGGUAUAGCUCAAGUGGUAGAGUGCAUGCUUAGCAUGCGUGAAGUCAUGGGUUCAAUCCUCAGUACCUCCU